rnacentral:rRNA from 1 species
AGCGAACGCUGGCGGCAGGCCUAACACAUGCAAGUCGAACGAACUCUUCGGAGUUAGUGGCGGACGGGUGAGUAACACGUGGGAACGUGCCUUUAGGUUCGGAAUAACUCAGGGAAACUUGUGCUAAUACCGAAUGUGCCCUUCGGGGGAAAGAUUUAUCGCCUUUAGAGCGGCCCGCGUCUGAUUAGCUAGUUGGUGAGGUAAAGGCUCACCAAGGCGACGAUCAGUAGCUGGUCUGAGAGGAUGAUCAGCCACAUUGGGACUGAGACACGGCCCAAACUCCUACGGGAGGCAGCAGUGGGGAAUCUUGCGCAAUGGGCGAAAGCCUGACGCAGCCAUGCCGCGUGAAUGAUGAAGGUCUUAGGAUUGUAAAAUUCUUUCACCGGGGACGAUAAUGACGGUACCCGGAGAAGAAGCCCCAGCUAACUUCGUG